CUCUUCUUCUCAGCAUGCGUGUUCCGAUCGGAACGCUUAAAGUGAAGAACUUCACCAGAGAGGUGGCUUUCCUAGCGAGGUUGCGCGUUCUGGUUUUGUGUGAACUGCGGGUGCAGAUGCUCCUUUCUACGUCUGCUGCUUGCCCUCAACCCCUACUUCCCUUGGUUCCGUCCGGAAAAAGAAGACUCCCCACCAUUCUGAGUGCUCUCUUAGCCGCUUACUCCCGAGUCAGGUGGCACUCCCGGAGAAAAUCCCCCUUCCCCGCAACUCUACUCCCCGUCCUGGGAAAGGGCGUCUUCCACCGCCGGACGUGUGUCCUAGCUAGGAAAACAGAAAUUUAAAGAAAUGGAUGAUGAACCAGAAAGAACAAAACGGUGGGAAGGAGGUUAUGAAAGAACAUGGGAGAUUCUCAAAGAAGAUGAGUCUGGAUCAUUGAAAGCUUCUAUUGAGGAUAUUCUUUACAAGGCAAAAAGAAAACGAAUUUUUGAGCAUCAUGGACAAGUUCGGCUUGGGAUGAUGCGUCACUUAUAUGUAGUGAUUGAUGGAUCAAGAACAAUGGAAGACCAAGACUUGAAACCUAACAGAUUAACUUGUACUUUAAAGUUACUAGAAUAUUUUGUUGAAGAAUAUUUUGACCAAAAUCCCAUUAGUCAGAUUGGCAUUAUUGUGACUAAGGGUAAAAGAGCUGAAAAACUGACUGAGCUUUCAGGAAAUCCAAGGAAACACACAGCUGCUCUGAAAAAGGCGGUAGAUAUGACUUGCCUAGGAGAGCCUUCUCUAUAUAAUGCCUUAAAUUUGGCCACACAGACCUUGAAGCACAUGCCAGGACACACAAGCCGAGAGGUUUUAGUAAUAUUCAGCAGCCUGACAACUUGUGAUCCUUCCAAUAUAUAUGACUUGAUUAAGUGUUUAAAGACACAGAAGAUCAGAGUGUCUGUUAUUGGCCUCUCUGCUGAAGUUCGAGUUUGUACUGUACUUGCUCGUGAAACUGGUGGAACGUAUCAUGUCAUUUUAGAUGAAAGCCAUUUCAAAGAGCUCCUUGUGCACCAUGUAAGUCCACCACCAGCUAGUUCAGGUUCUGAAAGUUCCCUUAUUCGGAUGGGUUUUCCUCAGCACACGAUUGCAUCUUUGACCGAUCAGGAUGCAAAGCCAUCUUUUAGCAUGGCGCACCUGGAAAACAGCAGUGAUCCAGGUCUUACAUUGGGAGGUUAUUUCUGCCCCCAGUGUAGAGCCAAAUAUUGUGAGCUGCCUGUGGAAUGCAAAGUUUGUGGUCUUACACUAGUAUCAGCUCCCCAUCUGGCUCGAUCUUACCAUCACCUUUUUCCUUUGGAUGCCUUUGAGGAAAUUCCUCUGGAACAAUAUACAGGAGAACGCUGUUGUCAAGGAUGCCAAGGAGAAAUCAGAGAUCAACAUGUCUAUAUCUGUAAAACCUGCCAGAGUGUUUUUUGUGUUGAAUGUGAUAUUUUUACUCAUGAAACUCUCCACUGCUGCCCAGGCUGCAUUCACAAACAUCCUGCACCUUCCUGUGUUUGAUGUCAUCUAUUUUUGAUCAGUGCAUUUUGUUAAAUUCCUUCAUAUGGAGAGAGUAGCCACAUCAGCUGCUCUGUGAAAUAGGUGGAAGAUGGGGAAGAGUACCUACUUGUAUGCUCAUGACACUGGCUAAGCAGGUUGGCUGGGCCAAUUGUUUGGACAUGCCAACAUUCAACCAGGUUAAAACCAGCUUUCGAAUCAUUCAUCUCACUAUUUCUGGAGCUGCUUGCAAGCUUUUUCUGGGCCCCACCGCUCUUCGUGAGGUAUAUAAUCUGAGUGAGAGAGACUGGUUGAGACACCCCGAGGGUACCACUUCUAUGGGGCAGGAAUUCCCAUCCACUGGCAGCACAAAAAGCUUCUGAAAUCUGCCUGGUUUUUACUAAUUUGGGCCAUGUAUGGAUGUGUAAGGAAUUUCAAAAGCCCAAGAUUUCUCCAUAAAUCACCAUUUGCCCAGCUGUAUUUUUGUGUAACUGAUGACUUUUCACCAUUUAAAAAUUUGUCAGUCCAACACAAGCG